rnacentral:rRNA from 1 species
GGACUACUGGGGUUUCUAAUCCCGUUUGCUCCCCUGGCUUUCGCGCCUCAGCGUCAGGAAAGGUCCAGUGCGUCGCUUUCGCCACCGGCGUUCCUCGGGAUAUCUACGCAUUUCACCGCUCCACCCUGAGUUCCACGCACCCCUACCUCCCUCCAGGCGAGCAGUAUCAGGGGCACUUUUCCAGUUGAGCUGAAAGAUUUCACCCCUGACUUGCCCGUCCGCCUACGCGCCCUUUAAGCCCAGUGAAUCCGAACAACGUUUGCACGGUUCGUCUUACCGCGGCUGCUGGCAC